rnacentral:lncRNA from 1 species
CACUGGCUUUUCCAAGGCAGAGACUGAACUCAUUAAGCAAUGUUAAUUUAAUCACAAGUAAUCAACAGGAAAAAAUAAAAGUUAUAUAACCAUCUUCAAAAUUUGAAAUCAAACAUGGUAAAAUCCCAGGAAAUAGAUUUUUUUAAAACAAAAUUCAUGUCUCAACAUAAAAUGAAUAAAGACAGGAAAAGAAAUGGCCAGAUGUCUACCGAUUUUAGUAUCAGAUAAAAUCAAACCAAAAAUGGGCAUUUCCUCACAAGUAUCCCAUUUAUGACACCGUUCCAAUUCAUGACUUUUUAACGUAGUAAUACAUGAGGUCUGGGAGCUCCUCCUGCCUGAGGGUGCAGAAUACAAAUGCAUUUUCAGGUCCUGAGACAAGGUGGAAAUAAAGCAGGUACGCAAGGAGGGUCACUGACCGUGACACUGAGAGACCUCUCCCCCUUCUAAGCGCCGUGUCGCUGCGGGGCUCGGUCCCCGUUGGCCCCGCGCUUUAGAGACCAAAGCCGCGCUCAGGUCCCCUGGUUCCUGCCCCGCAGAGGAGGGUGUGAACCUGACACAGGUGGGAGCGCUCCAAGCCUGCUUGCUCACCAUCAGACGCCGUCUGACGGGCUCUAGGUCGCGACCAGAACGGAGGUCGCCAAGACCUGUAAGUGGGCAGCACGACACCGCGCAGGUACUGAUGCCGUUUCGGGGAAAGAGACGACGGUCAAGUCUGAAGGUCUCUGCUUUCCACCCACGGAGAAUUCGGUAAAGAAACAAGAGGCUUCCCCAACCAGAAAACUGAAGAUCUAGAGUAUAAAUUUGAAUUCUCCAUACUCCACAAUUUAUGCUUUCUGUCUUGCAAUGAACAUUUUCCCAUAAGAAAAGUAAUGCGUUCUUCCUGGAAAGCUCUUUAUAGAAGUGCACAGUUAAGGGGCGCCUGGGUGGCUCAGUCGUUAAGCGUCUGCCUUCAGCUCAGGGUGUGAUCCCGGCGUGAUGGGAUCGAGCCCCACAUCAGGCUCCUCCGCUAUGAGCCUGCUUCUUCCUCUCCCACUCCCCCUGCUUGUGUUCCCUCUCUCGCUGGCUGUCUCUAUCUCUGUCAAAUAAAUAAAUAAAGUCUUAAAAAAAAAAAAAAAGA